rnacentral:rRNA from 1 species
GUGCCAGCAGCCGCGGUAAUACGUAGGGUGCGAGCGUUAAUCGGAAUGACUGGGCGUAAAGGGCAUGUAGGCGGUUCGUCGCGUCUGGUGUGAAAGCCCAUCGCUUAACGAUGGGUCUGCGCCGGGUACGGGCAGGCUAGAGUGCAGUAGGGGAGACUGGAAUUCCCGGUGUAACGGUGGAAUGUGUAGAUAUCGGGAAGAACACCAAUGGCGAAGGCAGGUCUCUGGGCUGUUACUGACGCUGAGGAGCGAAAGCGUGGGGAGCGAACAGGAUUAGAUACCCUGGUAGUCCACGCUGUAAACGGUGGAUGCUGGAUGUGGGGCCCGUUCCGCGGGUUCUGUGUCGGAGCUAACGCGUUAAGCAUCCCGCCUGGGGAGUACGGCCGCAAGGUUAAAACUCAAAGAAAUUGACGGGGGCCCGCACAAGCGGCGGAGCAUGCGGAUUAA